rnacentral:tRNA from 1 species
GCAUCGGUGGUUCAGUGGUAGAAUGCCUGCCUGCCACGCGGGCGGCCCGUUCGAUUCCCGUCCGAUGCA